AAUCAAUCAACAAAGAGUAUAUGGUGGAGAUCUAGGGACCUAGAGCCGAUGAAGGGCGUGAUAACCGACGAUAUGCUUCGGGGAGCAGGACGUAUGCUUUGAUCCGAAGAUUCCCGAAUAGGGCAACCUAAAACAUUCCUUCUUGAAUUCAUAGAGAAGAGAAAGACAACCCAGUGAACUGAAACAUCUUAGUAGCUGGAGGAAAAGAAAGCAAAAGCGAUUCCCAAAGUAGCGGCGAGCGAAAUGGGACCAGUCUAAAAGAAAAAUUUAUUUUUCUGGUUAUAGGACCAAACACAAAGGUAUAGAAAUUGAUGAGAAACGAAGCAGCUGAAUCCUGCGCCAUAGAUGGUGAAAGCCCAGUCGUUGAACCUUCACUCAAUGCCGUUUGGCUCCCAAGUAGUAUGGGGCACGUGAAAUCCCGUAUGAAUUCGCCAGGACCACCUGGUAAGACUAAAUACUCCUAGGUCACCGAUAGCGAAAAGUACCGCGAGGGAAAGAUGAAAAGAACCCCUAUUCGGGGAGUGAAAUAGAACAUGAAACCGUAUACUUACAAUUGGUAGGAGGAUGAACACAUCUGACUGCAUGCCUGUUGAAGAAUGAUCUGGCGACUUACGGUAAGUGGCAUGGUUAAGAUUUUUCAUCGAAGCCAAAGCGAAAGCAUGUCUGAAUAGGGCACUCGUCCCUUAUCGUAGACCCGAACCCAGGUGAUCUAACCAUGACCAGAAUGAAGCUUUGGUGAAACGAAGUGGAGGUUCGAACCGACCGAUGUUGAAAAAUCGACGGAUGAGUUGUGGUUAGGGGUGAAAUGCCAAUCGAACUUGGAGCUAGCUGGUUCUCCUCGAAAUGCGUUGAGGCGCAGCGGUUAUUUAUGAACUCUCAUGGGGUAAAGCUCUGUUUCGGUGCGGGCUGCGAAAGCGGUACCAAUCUGUUGCAAACUCGGAAUACGUGAGAUGAUUUCAAAUAGCCAGUGAGACUGCGGGGGACAAGCUUCGUAGUCAAAAGGGAAACAGCCCAGACCAUCAGUUAAGGCUCCUAAAUAAAAGCUAAGUGGUAAAGGAGGUGAAAAUGCUGUGACAAUCAGGAGGUUUGCCUAGAAGCAGCCACCCUCUAAGGAGUGCGUAAUAGCUCACUGAUCAAGCGUUUUUGCGCCGAAAAUUUCCGGAACUAAGUUUUUUGCCGAAGCUAUGGAUAUAUUCUCUUAUAGAAUAUGUGGUAGAGGAGCGUUCCGCCCAGGGAGAAGCCAAGCGCGUAAGCCGCGGUGGACAGGGCGGAAGUGAGAAUGUCAGAUUGAGUAACGAAAACACUAGUGAGAAUCUAGUGCCCCGAAAACGUAAGGGUUCCUCUGCAAGGCUCGUCCUCAGAGGGUCAGUCAGGACCUAAGGUGAGGCCGAAAGGCGUAAUCGAUGGAAAGAAGGUUUAUAUUCCUUCACCGUUAUUUUAUUAGUCCUAAGGGACGAACAAAUGAAGCGAAAGAAAUUUGCCACCUUGGCCGGUGGAAGAACGAAUUGCUUGUCCCUCCAUUUUUUCCAAGAAAAGCUUAUCGACUUUGAUAAAAUAGCGCCUGUACCGUAAACCGACACAGGUACGUGGGUUGAAUAAACUAAGGGGAGCGAGAUAACUCUCUCUAAGGAACUCGGCAAAUUGGCUCUGUACCUUCGGAAGAAAGAGUGCCCUUGUAAAAGGGCCGCAGUGAAGAGAUCCAGGCGACUGUUUACCAAAAACACAGGUCUCCGCAAAGUCGUAAGACGAUGUAUGGGGGCUGACACCUGCCCAGUGCCAGAAGGUUAAAGAAGUUGGUUAGUUUCGACGAAGCUGACGACUGAAGCCCUGGUGAACGGCGGCAGUAACUAUAACUGUCCUAAGGUAGCGAAAUUCCUUGUCGGGUAAGUUCCGACCCGCACGAAAGGUGUAACGAUCUGGAUACUGUCUCAGAGAGAGGCUCGGUGAAAUAAAAAUAUCUGUGAAGAUGCGGAUUACCUGCACGCGGACAGAAAGACCCUAUGAAGCUUUACUGUACCCUGGAAUUGCUCUCAAGCUUGCUUUGCGCAGCUUAGGUGGGAGACGUUGAACUUCUUUUUCCGGAAAGGAGGGAGUCAUCAGUGAGAUACCACUCUUAGUAAGCUAGAGCGCUCAUUUCUUACCGUUAUCCGGUAGAAAGACAGUUUCAGGCGGGCAGUUUGACUGGGGCAGUCACCUCCCAAAAGGUAAUGGAGGUGUACAAAGGUUCGCUCAGGCUGGACGGAAAUCAGCCAUAGAGUGUAAAAGCAAAAGCGAGCUUGACUGCGAGACUGACAUGUCAAGCAGAGACGAAAGUCGGUUUUAGUGAUCCGACGGUGCUGAGUGGAAAGGCCGUCGCUCAACGGAUAAAAGUUACUCUAGGGAUAACAGGCUAAUCUCCCCCAAGAGUUCACAUCGACGGGGAGGUUUGGCACCUCGAUGUCGGCUUAUCGCAUCCUGGAGCGGAAGUACGUUCCAAGGGUUGGGCUGUUCGCCCAUAGAAAGCGGUACAUGAGCUGGGUUCAGAACGUCGUGAGACAGUUUGGUCCAUAUCCCGUGUAGGCGUUUAGAACAUUGAAAGGAUCUCCCCUUUGUACGAGAGGACCAGGUGGGGACAAUCCGCUAGUGUACCAGUUAUUCCGCCAGGGGUAAACGCUGGGUAGCUAUGAUUGGAGCAAAUAACUGCUGAAAGCAUAUAAGUAGGAAGUUCACCUUAAGAUGAGUGUUCUUUGUCUAUGAAACUUUAAGUUUCAACAAUGACAGUAAGAUCACGGCAAGACUAGCCGUUUAAUAGGCGUAAUGUAGACGCGCAGUAAUGCGUUUUGAAGCUGAUACGUACUAAUAGAUCGAAGGAUUUGAUUUU
rfam:Ostreococcus tauri chloroplast, complete genome.